GAUUUUUUAUCCAUAUUCUAUCUACUGCACUACAUUUUUGAGGUAGGCAAUACAAAACUCUAUGUCUCACUAUGUGCUGAAUACUAUUCAUAGUAUAGUGUAUGCUAGUUACUUGUUGCUGCCAACUAGCUGUAUUUCUCACCAUCCAGACAUGGUAACUGGUAAGCAAGGCAUGUACAGAGGCAAUCAAAACUUCUUUUCUUGUCUUCAAACCCUUGUAAGACCUUGUUAUCCACAUAAGCCAUUGAGGAACUGUUCUCUUUCAAUAAUUGACUCCUAUCCAAUUCAGAAUUUGUGUCAUGACUUGCUUGCUACAGACACAUUCAAAGAAAAGAUGCGAGUGUGUUUCAUCAGCAAAUCCACAAAUGCAACAUGUGCUAUUCUGGCUAACCCCACUUCUAAAUAAUCCCUCUUUUGUCUGCAGUCUGCCUUGAACACCUAGCCAAGAUAUGACUAUGUGUUUAGGUACAACCAUUCUAUGCCAAACUCCAUGCACUCAUUUCACUUCAUCUACCUAAUUAAUGAGAAUCUGAUAGACAACAUUUAUCGAGUACUUUGUAUCCUUUUACCAUGUCCGCACAUUAAUCACCCCCAAAGCAUUCUUCACUUUACAAAUUUGCUUCACAAUCCAGCUAGCAUUGGAUGGGGCACUGAAACUUCAAAUUGUUUUGCUGCAGCCCGAAAUAACCAUUGAAAGAAAAUGGCAGAGAUUCUUCUACGCAGAUCUUCUUCGCUUUCUAGGGUUCUAUGACGGAGAUUUGUCGAAUGCAGUGCGUAGCCCCGAGAUUGGAGAGCAGAAAAAACGGUCCCAAAGGGUGUAAUGAUCAUGUAAAAUGAAGUCCCAGUUAUGUCAAAAAGUUCGCAAUAAAUAGUCAACAAAAGUCAACAGAUAAAUGAUUCAGGAAAGAGAAGCCCAACUGCUAACACUGAUCAAGAGAUAAUUGAUGAAAGUCAAGCGAUGCUAAAAAUGAAGAAGUGGAUGGAAGUUAAUCUGACUACAAAGGCAUGCAAGAACGUGGGUAAUGGGACGUGACUAUCAUGGUGCUAGAAAAUGGCAGUUAUGAUUUGAAUCAUAAAUGAUUCAAAUCACUUCCCUCCAAGGAGCAAGGAAUUUAUACAUGCAUCCGUAGUAUAAAUACAAGAAGGAACAUCAGAAAAGAACAACAAACGUGCAAUUUACUUUCUACUACCGUAGCUUUACAUAGAUUAGUCAACCCCCUUCCAGGGUUAUAGCUAGCCUCUAGUUUAGAAUUAGGGCAUGUACUGAGUUACCAAGUUUGUUCAAUCUCCAAUUUAAGUCGAAAUCUAUGGAGGUAUUCAUCUUCAUGUUUGUCCUUUAAUUGUCCAGUCUGGUUUAUCCCUAUGUGUGUUAUAGAAUCCUUUUAGAAGUUUGUGAUGUAAGUGGGAAUAUUCAGCUUUAAUUAAUAGAUUAAUUAUUGCAUUUAUUAUCU